UACGUAGGUGACCAGCGUUGUCCGGAUUUACUGGGCGUAAAGAGCGCGCAGGCGGUCGUUCAAGUCGAGUGUGAAAGCCCCCGGCUCAACUGGGGAGGGUCACUCGAUACUGAUCGACUUGAAGGCAGGAGAGGGAAGCGGAAUUCCCGGUGUAGUGGUGAAAUGCGUAGAUAUCUGGAGGAACACCGGUGGCGAAGGCGGCAUCCUGGACCAACACUGACGCUGAGGCGCGAAAGCUAGGGGAGCAAACGGG
rnacentral:rRNA from 1 species